rnacentral:rRNA from 1 species
AUUGAACGCUGGCGGCAGGCCUAACACAUGCAAGUCGAGCGGAUGAAGGGAGCUUGCGCCUGGAUUCCGCGGCGGACGGGUGAGUAAUGCCUAGGAAUCUGCCUGGUAGUGGGGGAUAACGUCCGGAAACGGGCGCUAAUACCGCAUACGUCCUGAGGGAGAACGGGGUGGAUCUUCGGACCUCAAGCUAUCAGCUGAGCCUAGGACGGAUUAGCUAGUUGGUGGGGUAAAGGCCUACCAAGGCGACGAUCCGUAACUGGUCUGAGAGGAUGAUCAGUCACACUGGAACUGAGACACGGUCCAGACUUCUACGGGAGGCAGCAGUGGGGAAUAUUGGACAAUGGGCGAAAGCCUGAUCCAGCCAUGCCGCGUGUGUGAAGAAGGUCUUCGGAUUGUAAAGCACUUUAAGUUGGGAGGAAGGGCAGUAAGUUAAUACCUUGCUGUUUUGACGUUACCAACAGAAUAAGCACCGGCUAACUUCGUG